rnacentral:rRNA from 1 species
UACGUAGGGUGCAAGCGUUGUCCGGAAUUAUUGGGCGUAAAGAGCUCGUAGGCGGUUCGUCGCGUCGGCUGUGAAAACCUGAGGCUCAACCUCAGGCCUGCAGUCGAUACGGGCGGACUUGAGUACUGCAGGGGAGACUGGAAUUCCUGGUGUAGCGGUGAAAUGCGCAGAUAUCAGGAGGAACACCGGUGGCGAAGGCGGGUCUCUGGGCAGUAACUGACGCUGAGGAGCGAAAGCGUGGGGAGCGA